GCACCGACAGCCCGCAUCCCAGCACUUCCGCCAGGAACCUGAACCGGGGAAACACGUCCGCCAGAACCGGGGUGUCACUGUGAAUAAUGUCCCCAACUUCCGGCAGCUGCUGCACUUGUGUGAGAAAUAGAGACCGCCUGAAGACUUCUUCCAACCGUGAUUCGUCUCCACAGAAUCUGCCAAACAAAUUGUAGGCUCCAUGAUUUUUCAGCACAAAACUAACCUUUUUCCUACAAUGAGCGCCCCAAAUAAUUCCUGCUCUGGUGCCCUGCAUAGUAUGAGUAAGUAGAGAUGAUCUAACAAGGAGACGUCACUGUAUUCGGAAAAUUACAAAGGGUGAUAAUAAUUUCCUGGACCAGAAACAGGACCGGGGGGCCCACCCAGACUGAAGCGGGAUCGACAUCUGGCUACAGUGAACAGCAAGGAAAAAUAAACUGUGCCGCUUCUGUCUGUCUCAUCUGGAAAACCCACAUAUAAAAUAACACACCUGUAUAGCAUGUUGCACCAUGGAGUGACAGAAGACUGUAUUUCUACAGAGAGGAGGAAAGAACUCAGAUAUCAACAAGAGGGAAAGUGUUCCACCAUUACCAUGGCAACCUUGAUGCCAUAAACUUCAGUCAGGGGAGUUACAGGGACAGAAGACCAGCCUGGAUAUAAAUGCUGGAGGAAGGGCCACUGGCUCACAAAUGGGUUCCUUAGGUGACCCUAUUUUUAUUUUAAGCUUUCUAAAAAACAUUCAGUUUUUCAAUCUCUCUAAAGUUAUAAAUAGAUGAAUUUAAGAAAUGUACUAUAUUUCUCCACAAAGUACCUACGUAGUUCCUUGUUGCCUAUUAUACAAGUCCUCAGAGGCACAGCUAUAAGAGAUACAAGAGCUACUGUUGUUCCCAGAACAUAUGAGUGGAAAUGACACAAGGGGUGCAGUUACAUAUUCUGCCCUGCUGCCCAGGAAUUACCCUCUGCCU